rnacentral:pre_miRNA from 1 species
UUUUUAGUAUAAGUAUGUCCCAAGCAGUAUUUGGUAUAUAUUUAAACUAAAA